rnacentral:rRNA from 1 species
UACAGAGACUGCGAGCGUUAUUCGGAUUCACUGGGCGUAAAGGGUGCGCAGGCGGCCGUGUGUGUGAGGCGUGAAAGCCUGGAGCUUAACUCCGGAACUGCCAUUGAAACUGUGAAACUUGAGGAUGAGAGAGGUGAGUGGAAUUCCCAGUGUAGAGGUGAAAUUCGUAGAUAUUGGGAAGAACACCGGUGGCGAAGGCGGCUCACUGGCUCAUUUCUGACGCUCAGGCGCGACAGCGUGGGGAUCAAACAGG